UUAAAAAUGUAAUGUAUGUCGCUUUGGAUAAAAGCGUCAGCUAAAUGACUUGUA
rfam:Gasterosteus aculeatus cont1.001925, whole genome shotgun sequence.